GUAAGGUCAUCAGAAAUGUGCACACCAAGAAACUUGGUGCUCCUGACUCUCUCUACAGCCGAGCCAUUGAUGAGCAGGGGAAGAUGAUCAGUUGGAGUUCUUCGUAAAUCCACAACAAUCUCUUUCAUCUUGUCCACAUUGAGAGACAGUUUGUUGCUGUAGCACCAGCUCACCAGUUGUUCCACCUCAUCUCUGUAUGGUGUUUCGUUAUCAUUGCUGAUGAGGCCCACUACUGUUGUGUCAUCAGCGAACUUGACAACAAGGUUGGAUUCUGACUUGGCUGUGCAGUUGUGUGUGAGCGGCGUGAACAACAGCGGACUGAGAACACAGCCUUGAGGGGCACCUUUGCUUAAUGUGAUGGUGCCUGAUGUACUGCCACAUAUGCGCACUGACAUUGAUCUUUCAACUGUAAAUUUACUAUGUUCUUUGCAUCCAAGGCAAGGCAUUUGGCAUUGUCUUUUUUGGAAGUGCAGGACUUGACUUUACACCGCCUGUCUGAAAAGAAGUCAAACACUCUAAUAUUUCGUUGCACCACCUUUGGCUUUGAUGUUGUUGUGCUUUUGUUGUAACAUUGUUUGAACAACGUUUAGUUCCAUCAAGAGUUGCAUUAAUGUUUGGCUGAGAUCUUGUAUUGACAAUGGCAGAGUUAAGAUACUCUCUAAAGUCAACUCCAGCACAUCCUCAAGACUUUCAAAGGGUUAAGCUCAGGACUCGGUGGUGGCCAAUUCAUGUGUGCAUUUCUCAUGCUUAAUGAACCACUGUUUCACAAUGUGUUUUGCGACAUCAAAGUGUAUCUUAAUCAGCUCCUGAGCUCGUAAGUCAGUUUAUGGUGUACAUGAAUCCAGGCACUGUUAAGGACCCUGGCUCACUGCACAUUGGGACAGUGGUUACUCAAUUUUUGGGUGACAUGAUCCCAUACAUUGUACCUACCUUGUUGAAAAAUGGUUUAAAUCAACAACAGGCAGGACAUAUCUAUUUGAUAUAGUCUUUUAUACUCUUUAAACACAUCUGUUACAUAUCAACAUUUCAGCUGAAUAUUAAUUGUAAAUCUUAACUAGAUGUGUUCACUACCUGUUUAGUGAUGUUUAUGCUGACAUAAAAGAAAAAUGGAUUAUCUUUUAAAUCCGUUAAUAUGCAAACAUGUCUUUAAAACAAAAAAAGAGAAGGGUUACACACAGAUGCUGAUUCUCAGUUACUGUUUUUUGUGUUUGUUUCUGGCUGUUAACAGAAGGCUCUUUUGAUUUGGGUCAGUCACUGCAUUGGCGGCUCUUGAGGGCCUCAGCUGUAUCUCAGCAGCAGAGUUUGGUAGAGAAAUGUGUGUGGACUCUUUUGACUUCUGACAGUGUUUAUAUCUCCAUUAUCGUGAUGUUUAUUGUAUAAAACACAAUAGAAGAAUGCUGUAAUACAGGGCUGAGUCCCCAAACCUAAUUAAACACACCCAAACCAGCUCAUCAAGGUCUUCAAGAUCAGUAGAAAGCUACAGGCAGGUGUGUUUAAUUAGGGUUGGAGCUGAACUCUGCAGGACCAAAGCUGCCAAGCCCUGCUGUCAAUACAAAAUGCAUGCCAGGUGUUUUUUAUUUUUUAUUUUUUUUUUUAUAAAUAACUGAAGACUAAUAUUAACAUGACAAAAAACACAGACAAACAUUUAUUUGACUGUUGUGUUACCAGGAUUUAAUUAAUCAGAUCAAGCAGUAAUGUUCUUGAUAAAAUGUUCUGUAGCUGCUAAACUAUUUUACUAAUAAAAUCACCAGAUCUGUACUGACAACACGUUUGUUGUGUGUGUGUUUGUAAGGGAGAGAGAACAUAAGAAAGAGAGUAUGUGCUUUCCGUACACUAUAAAAUGUUAUUUUGUGGCAAAAACAUGAAAAUAAUUUGUCAUUUUUAUCCUAUUGUUUGCUAUAUUAAUUUGCUUGGUUGGUGUCGAUGUGGAUUUUAGUUCUUUUGCUGUUUUAGGCUGUAAGUUCGCUGUGUGUUUCCCUGAAAAUAAUUGCCCUCCUUAAAACAUUCGUCAGCCAAUCAGAAGCAUCCAACAGCCCCAUAUGAUAUAAUCCAUGUUUCAUGUAUUAACAAUGUCCAAAAGUUUGUUUGUUAAGGCUAGAUUAAAUGAAGCAGGUGAGGACCAAAACAAACCAGACCAAAUGCAAAUACAAGCACAAAACUGUGUGAGGUGUUUUUGCACGGAUCAUAGCAGUUUCAGUGUGAAAUAUGUGGGAAGUAUGGCAUGUUUUGUGUAAACUGAAAAAAAUCAUAAAAAUACCAGAUGAUCAUGGUGCCCUGAUGUCAUUAAUAUAAAUUGUACACAUUUGAAAGUAUUGUUAGAUGUCUCCUUUUUCACAUUUCCAGGGUUCUCGGUAGCGGAAGUCAUUAUAGACGAUAAAUGACAUGUUAUAAACUUCUGGUGAAUAAGAGACUACAGCAAAUUCUUCUUCUUCUUCUUCUGUUUUGUUUAUGAUUGCAUUUCCACACCUUUUCUUUCACGUCCUCAGCUGUUGUAUUAGACACCAGGAGGUCAGGAAUUGGCUGUUCAGCAGGUUCCUGAAGAUGUUUCUGGUAAUGGUUUCUGUUCACCCCUGCUGGUAGAUGCUGGAACUACACCAACAGACAGCAACAUUACACACAGAUCCUACUAGUUUAAAUAAAGCAGAUUUGGCUCAAAACAACACAGGCUGAAUGCAAAUGAGAGAACGCAAAUUCCAUCAGGUCUUUUUUUUCACGGAUCACGGAAGUUUCAAAGUAAAAUCUGCAGGAAUUUCUUUGCAAGUCAAACUGAGGACGUCACUGAAGAUCUGCAUUCUUGUUAAGGGUUGGGAACCGAGAACCGGUUCUUAUUCAGGUUCUUAAGUUUCGUUUCCAAAAACGGUUCUGGUGUGACACGUGACCAGGCGCUGUGAGCAGCCUUGCGUUGGUGUUCUGACGAAUCGAUUCGGCGUUUCCCGUGAAACAUGUCACAAACCAAAUAACAGAAACACCGCCCUGCCUCUUUAAUUACUGAGCACAUUGUUUCCAGUGAAGCGCACUCCACAGUUACAGUAACUACAUAACACACGUUUCCCACAACUGUACGCGCACGCGCCUUUGAUAACUGUGCACGUCUUUUUGUCGUUUUGUCUGCCGCCACUUAAUUACAUUAUAUUUGUCCUAUAUUCUCAUUAAUAUACAUACUGACUUCAACUUGGACCACUAAAUAAAUAGACUGCUAUUGUUAUGUAAGUAUUAGAUUAUUAGAGGGUUAGAUUAUUUAGUGUACAGGUCAUUUCAAGAGAGAUAAAUAAAGUGAUAGAAAAUAUGUAUUUUCAUGCAUUUUAAAUGUUUAAAAAUGAGGAAACCAUUCAUUUCAUCACACCAUCUCCUGACUGCAUUAUUAUUUGUAAUAUAGGGGCUUUAUGGAGUGUGUGUAUACAUGGUUAUAAGUAUAACAGUUUAUAUUUCAUUAAUUUAGGGAAAUAAACAAGUGUCUUAGCCCUCAAGGGACUAUUUGGCCAACCAGCUUAUUCCUGCUUGAAAAGCAAAAUGUUACUGAUAGUGUAAAAAACAUCAACUUUGAAGCACAUGCUGAUUGAUGGACUAGAAUUACUCAACAUUACUUACUACCUUCCAGCAACACUACAUUCAAUGAAGGUAAAAUAGUAAAAAAACAUAAUAAUAGUUCAUUUAAAUGGAAUCGGAACUGGAAAAUUUGUAUACUGUAAUACAUGUUGAAUUUUGACAUUGCCAACCUUUAAAUUAAGUUGAUAGUAAGUAAUAAACAGUAUUGAGCACUGAGUAGUUAAGUAUUGUGCAUUUUUCCUCACCACUAUUUUCUUAAUAGUUGUUUAAUGAUUUUAAUGGAAUCGGAACCUGAAAAUUUCUAACGAUACCCAACCCUACUUGUCACGUUCAGCUGAUGAUAAGACUGACACCUGAAAAAUGCUGUAAAGUGAGAAUGUGUUUCUGUGUUUGUGAAACAUGCACUAACAAGCACAGCACUGUGUUUACAUGAAGUAUGACAGAAGACAAGAAUAUUACUGAGUUAAUAUGACAGUAUCUGUUACAUUUGUCUUCAUUGUUCAGUGGUAUAACUGAAGUGUUAAAUGUCAUGAUGCAGUGUUUAUACUCUUAAAUGUCUCUUGAGUUUGGUGUUUGUUCUGUGUUGUAGGUUUAGUGUGAGACAGUGAUUGAACGAGGGUGGGUUGGCUUUUUCUUUUUUAACAAAUUAAGCUGUGUGUGUGUAUAUGUGUGUGAGAGAGAGAGAGAGAGAGAUCUUGUAGACAGCAUAUUGCAAACACUGAACCAAAGAGGAAAUUUUGUUGGGAUUGGGAAUCAAAUACAUUUUCUAAUUUAUUAUUCAUAUCUGAACCAUUUCACAGAAAUCAUUAUGAUUCUGUGACUUCUCUGAAUCUUCUUCAUCAGUUUGACUGUAGAAGAGAGAAGAUUCACACGGUCUGUCAAGACAGGCUUCAACAAAACUGUUUUAGCAAACUAAAAAGGAAAUGAUAAGAGAUUGAAAUUCAUAAACUAUAAUUGCCCUUCAUUGUAUGUUAAUGUUUUUGAGAUUUCAAAUAAAGGAACAGCUGAAACUAAUCCUCUGCUGACCUCUGCAGGUCAUUAAUGUCCAUAAUUAGUUCAGAAAUAAGUUACAGCUCAUCUUGCAUGUGCUCAUGAUGACACGCUGCACGUUGUUCAGUUAUAUAGAAGCUGUUAGAGACCUAAAUAUCCUUUCACAAUGUUAUUAAUGUCAUUUCAUUUGUCAUUUGAAAACCAGAUUCCAUGAAUAAAUCGUGUUUUUAAAUAAACUGGAACUUCCGGUGUGAGCCACGUGGUGUCACUGUUUUCUUUCUCAACUUGUACAGAAAAGUCAAGACAGACUGAUAAAACUUUACAUACAAAGAUC
ensembl:lncRNA